AGCAGCCGCGGUAAUUCCAGCUCCAAUAGCGUAUAUUAAAGUUGCUGCAGUUAAAAAGCUCGUAGUUGAAUUUCGGGACUAAUAUGUCGGUCGUGCCUCGGUACGUACUGGCUUAUUGGUUUCUCCUUUCUGAAGAACCAUGAUGUCAUUUAUUUGGUGUCGUGGGGAAUCAGGACUGUUACUUUGAAAAAAUUAGAGUGUUUAAAGCAGGCUCACGCUUGAAUACAUUAGCAUGGAAUAAUGAAAUAGGACGUUUGAUUCUAUUUUGUUGGUUUCUAGGAUCGACGUAAUGAUUAAUAGGGAUAGUUGGGGGCAUUAGUAUUCAAUUGUCAGAGGUGAAAUUCUUGGAUUUAUUGAAGACUAACUACUGCGAAAGCAUUUGCCAAGGAUGUUUUCAUUAAUCAAGAACGAAAGUUAGGGGAUCGAAGACGAUCAGAUACCGUCGUAGUCUUAACCAUAA
rnacentral:rRNA from 1 species